GCCACCGUCGCAACUGGCGAGCCACAGCAGCGGGCGGCUGAAGGAGUACAAUUUAGUGCGAGCGUUUUUUGUGAAUUUGCUCGACAUGUUGCUCAGUCAGUUCGAUAUUGGAAUUUGCAUUUGACGUGCCGUGGAGCGGAUGAUCGGAUUUGCGGAAUUCAGUAUAAAGUCUAAAUCCUCGUAUGCGUCGCCGUGUCGUUGCAGCUGUGAGCCGAUGGAGCGUGGCACUGCUGCUUGUAUGUGCGGUGCGAAUAUCACCAGCUAUCGCCAUAGUGGAUGCUGAGAGCUGUUGGAAUGACAGUGAAGCAUGUCUCAUACAAGCAACGCUGCAUCGGGUGGACGAACCACCGCAAUCCACGGGUUUGGCGGUGCAAAUCGAUUGCCAAACAAACACAGCUGGUGAAAACAAUCGCGCGCCCGCUUAUCUAUUGCGACCAAUGGAAAGUUUGCUGCUCGAUGGCUGUCACACGCCGCUAGACGUGGUAACGUACGGCAUGGAGUAUCUGCCCUACUGCGGCACAGUGCCGCAAGUCUAUAUGGAGCGCUUCCAUGCAGAUACGCUGCAGCCAUUCAGUUGUCCAGCUGCGAACAACAGCGUCCUGGAGGUGGAGAUUUUGCGCUAUCAUAAUAAUGAAUUGGCCACAGUAGGCACAGGCGCGUUCGCGAAUCUGCCGCGUUUGCGAGAACUGUACUUCGUACGCAACACGCUGCGCCACAUAGCGCGAACGGCGUUUGAUACGCUACGCGUCGUGGAGCGCAUUUAUAUUGCGCACGAGCCCUUGUUGGCGCUGAAGGACGGCGAUCUGUUUGAACGCACCGGCGUUGCUGAUCUACAGCUGAUACAGUUGAAACACAUCACGUCCGACCUAUUUGGCCAUCUGCCUGAGACGCUGCGUCAAUUAGUCGUCACACGCACCACUUUCGAUGACGACACCGUUGUGGUGAGUAACCCUCAGCUGCUGCGCAAUAUAUCAAUCAACGGCUGCACCUUGAAAUCGUUUACGCUGCUCGAGUCCGCGCAAACAACUAGCGUGCGUUACAUCAACUUGAGUGGCAAUGCUUUGAAUGAAUUUCGUGUGGAUUUUCUCAGCGAUGGCAGCAACACGUCGAUUGUGGCCGUGGAAACGCUUGAUUUGAGCGAAAAUCAUUUGACGCAAUUGCCGUUGUUAUGGCUGAGUGAACUGAGAAAACUGCGCCAUUUACUGCUACGCGGAAAUCAGCUGAAGAUUCUCUCAUUAACGGAGUUGAUGUCCGCCACACCGACGCUAAAGUCAUUGGAUUUGCGCGACAAUGAGCUGACGUCAUUACACGAUGCAGCAGCCGUGACCGCCUUGAGUUGGGAGCAAGUGCGUAUACAAAUCGACCGUAAUCCAUGGCAUUGCCUAUGGUUGCUCGACUUUGCGCACACACACCCCGAGAAGUUCCGUGCCUUCCAAUACGCCAAAUACAUUUCGCAAAUUAAUGUGAACGGUUUGCAAUGCGUGCCGGUGGAAGUGCCUGUUUUAGCGGACAAUGUCACGGAAAGUGAGCCACCUGUGAAUGAAACAACAACAACACUAGCCCCGACGAUGGUGAGAGGUAUUCAAAUUCAUGGACGGAAUAUGGGUGUGGUGAACGCCUCCACCUACAAGCUAAUCUACGGCGGUCCGUGGGAAUAUAAACGCAGUCAACGCGCCGAGGCGCUAAUAAUUGUGUUUAUGCUGCCGGUGGGCGUGGCACUACUAUUUCUUUUACUCUAUAUGUGGAUCAAUUGUCAGAAGGUGUUUCACUUGUCGUAUUAUCGUUCCUUUAGUUGGCCGCAACGCAAUAUCGGCAGGCGUUUUACGAGCGCGGAGCGUUUCGAUGUGGUGCGCCAGCUGCCGCCGACUCCGAAUGCCUUGAAUGACAACACUAACAAUAACGAAGACUACGAGACGCCUUUGAAUGGCAUCGGCUCUGUGUGCAACUGCAACAAUAUUGGCGUGGCAACAUACGCCAAUGAGAAAUGCAACAAACCUCAUCACAUCACCUACGAAGAAUUACCAACGGAACGGCCUUAUAAAAUCUACGAGGAGAUAAUUGGCGAUGACACAGACACCGAGACGUAUGCGCAACCUUUUUACGAUCACCUUUCGUUUACGCAUCCGACCAAAAGCGAUGUCACCGAUUCCACAUGAAACGGAGGUAAAUGUGUAAAUACACCUAUUUACAUAUGUAUGUAUGUAUGUGCAUAUGUGCGAUUAAGCGUAUUAAAGCCGUGGAUUGUGUAGCGCUAGUAUUGUGAAGAAACUAUUGGCAUGCAAACAGUGGGAAAAAACUAUGAAGCAAAGAAAUAUUCUACAUUUUUAUAAAUUCUUAAUGUGGUGAAAAAGAGAAUUAUUAGAUUUAUGAGUGUCUGGCUGUUAAAAUACUAAAAAUUUAAAGUGGCUGAUUAAUUUUGUCGAAGUGAUUACUGCACGAAGCAAGAUUACAUACAUACAUAUGUACAUAUGUAUAUACAACUGGUUACCCAUCAUUUCCAUUAACGGACACAAUUCUGUACGUAUGAAGCAGAGAUUUGUACUUACGCAUGUAUAUGUUUAUGUAUAUAUAAUAUUAUAUAUUUAUAGUAGUUCUUAUUGGUCGAUGUCUUAUUUUGAUAUUUUUUUGACAAUUAUAUUUACGCAGUUUGUAUAAAAAAAAUUAUGUAAUGAAAGUGUAAAUAAAUGGUGCUAAUUAA